rnacentral:rRNA from 1 species
GGUUGAUCCUGCCAAUAGUCAUAUGCUUGUCUCAAAGAUUAAGCCAUGCAAGUCUAAGUAUGAAUUAUUACUAUGGUGAAACUGCGAAUAGCUCAUUACAACAGUUAUGAUUUCAACGACAAUAUUUAACAUAUGGAUAUCCAUGGUAAUUCUGGCGCCAAUACAUGCUAUGAACUACUUGUUAAAGAGUGCAGCAUAAGUACUAACCAGUAAUUUGGUGAACGUUAUGAUUGCUCUACCGACUUUGUCGGACUGUCGUUUAGGUUUCUGGCCUAUCAGCUACCGUCGGUACG